GAGGCAGCAGUGGGGAAUAUUGCACAAUGGGCGCAAGCCUGAUGCAGCCAUGCCGCGUGUGUGAAGAAGGCCUUCGGGUUGUAAAGCACUUUCAGCGGGGAGGAAGGCGGUGAGGUUAAUAACCUCAUCGAUUGACGUUACCCGCAGAAGAAGCACCGGCUAACUCCGUGCCAGCAGCCGCGGUAAUACGGAGGGUGCAAGCGUUAAUCGGAAUUACUGGGCGUAAAGCGCACGCAGGC
rnacentral:rRNA from 1 species